rnacentral:rRNA from 1 species
GAUGAACGCUGGCGGCGUGCCUAAUACAUGCAAGUCGAGCGAACGGACGAGAAGCUUGCUUUUCUGAUGUUAGCGGCGGACGGGUGAGUAACACGUGGAUAACCUACCUAUAAGACUGGGAUAACUUCGGGAAACCGGAGCUAAUACCGGAUAAUAUUUUGAACCGCAUGGUUCAAAAGUGAAAGACGGUCUUGCUGUCACUUAUAGAUGGAUCCGCGCUGCAUUAGCUAGUUGGUAAGGUAACGGCUUACCAAGGCAACGAUGCAUAGCCGACCUGAGAGGGUGAUCGGCCACACUGGAACUGAGACACGGUCCAGACUCCUACGGGAAGCAGCAGUAGGGAAUCUUCCGCAAUGGGCGAAAGCCUGACGGAGCAACGCCGCGUGAGUGAUGAAGGUCUUCGGAUCGUAAAACUCUGUUAUUAGGGAAGAACAUAUGUGUAAGUAACUGUGCACAUCUUGACGGUACCUAAUCAGAAAGCCACGGCUAACUACGUG